GACUGCAUAUUCGGAGAAUCAAGUCACGUGAUGUUAAGCUACGUCAUUAAGGAGCUGGAUGAUUUGUAACGGUCGAAAGUAUUUCUGAGGAAUAAAACGUUUUCUUAUGUUUGCAGAUGGAAGGGGACGAAACUAUUAUUAUGUGAAGACACAUCUCGGACUAUCUGCUGUUCAAAACCACCAAGGAUGGAGUCGGAUGAAAUCUGCAUGCCAAGACCACAGUUAUGUGAUUAGUACAAGCCCAGAUGUUCAAGUUUUGCUAACAUACAGCAGUGUUGUUUGACAGACUUUCCACAGCAGUGUUAUGGAGGCAAAAUCAGAUUACGGUGAUGUGACCAGACAAAGAUGUUAAAUUUUUGCAAGCAUACUGAUGUCAUGUGGGCCAGAUUUUCCACAGCAGUGUUAAUUUCAUAAAUUAGCUUGAUCAUAGUGUAUGGCUGUUCAAUAUUAAGUAUAAUGCUAAUUUCAGAUUUUGUAUGUUUCACUGUUGAUUUCCAUUUUGAACUGUAGAGCUAGCCAAGCUUUCUAAGAUGUUCAGUUAGAUACAUGUAUA